rnacentral:rRNA from 1 species
AUUGAACGCUGGCGGCAUGCUUUACACAUGCAAGUCGAACGGUAACAGGCCGCAAGGUGCUGACGAGUGGCGAACGGGUGAGUAAUGCAUCGGAACGUGCCCAGUCGUGGGGGAUAACUACUCGCAAGAGUAGCUAAUACCGCAUACGAUCUAUGGAUGAAAGCGGGGGACCGCAAGGCCUCGCGCGAUUGGAGCGGCCGCUGUCAGAUUAGGUAGUUGGUGGGGUAAAGGCUCACCAAGCCAACGAUCUGUAGCUGGUCUGAGAGGACAACCAGCCACACUGGGACUGAGACACGGCCCAGACUCCUACGGGAGGCAGCAGUGGGGAAUUUUGGACAAUGGGCGCAAGCCCGAUCCAGCAAUGCCGCGUGCAGGAAGAAGGCCUUCGGGUUGUAAACUGCUUUUGUACGGAACGAAACGGCUCUGGUUAAUACCCGGGGCUAAUGACGGUACCGUAAGAAUAAGCACCGGCUAACUACGUG